CUGGAGGGCCACGCGGGAGAGGGUUGGAGUACGAGGAGGUUCGUCCGCCCCUCACUCCUCUACGUCCCUAGGACCUACCCCUAAGCGGCCACCUCCGUUUUCGACACGUUCAAGUACCGCCUUCGGAAUAACGUCAAGAGGAGUCACCGUCGUAAGUCGUCAAUCCGUCAUGAGGUACCCGUGGCGUGGCCGCUGGUGCUCGUCGUCUGGGCUCCUCUGGGGAGAGACUGCACUUGGGUCCUUGUUGUAGUUGCGGGGAACCGUCAAUCGUUCUGGUGUUGCGGGAACGGGUACGACGGCCUUGGUGGAGAGGAUGGUCACGGAGGGGCCGGUCACGACGGGUCGUUGGGGCCGCUGUACGUCGGGCACAGCAGGAGCCGCUGGGCUCUGGGUCGCGCCGGAGUCAAGGGGUACGGCGGCAGGAGGAGCAGCCCUAGUUCCCACGGUGGUGAGCAGAAGAAGAACGUAACAAGUCAAUCGAAGGGAAAAGAACUCCCUAUGUCAGUCAAUAGAAGGUAUGUAACAAGUCAGUGGUCUAUGUAAGUCGAUCGAGGGGAACAAAGGUUGUCAAUGCCACCAGAACAAGGGGUUUUAAGUAUUUUCCGUAAGACAUGACAUCGAUAUAAAAAUCUUUUUACGUCAACGUCAAGUGAGCAAUCUCUGUCUCUUUUUACGUCGUCAAUUGAGGAUUAUAACACCGUCAAGUGAACUACUUUUAUUUGCUUCACGUUCAAGUUCUUACUGAUGUUUCAGACGACGGAAGAAAGCCCAAAGAACCCCCAUAUAAAACAACGCGUAAGCUCACCCCAAAGAACUUAACCAACACAAAGAGGUCCCCCUCCUGCCUCGUCUACUCGCUCAUGUAGUUCUCCGACUAUCGGACGUAGGCCACCAUGCACCUCGACCUCUUGACGAUGAACCGGCUCGUCCUCUUCGAAGUCCGCCUCUAUCUAAGUCUCUUAUGUGCCGUACGCCUAAGAUUAAAGGUCACGAGUAUUGAGGAGUGCCCAGACAAACUAGAACAUCUCCCAUGUACACCGAGUAAACAAUAUCGUGAACGUAUGAGAAAAGAGUAGUUAAAUGGUACACCACCACAACUUGGUCACUGGCACAAGUCAUGGCGUAAUAUUACGAGUACGAAGUAGAAAACACAGACAAAGCGGAAAGUCUCUCAUUUCGACUCGGUAAAAACCACGUUAGAAUGAGAAGACCGGUGGUAAAAUAGCAAACGACCACAGGUAUUUUUAAGUUUGAUAUCUAUCACGGCACAAGAAGAAGAAGAAAAAAAACGCCCCUCUAUCACGGCAUAAGAUAGGAUGUGACAAAGUCUGAUGGAUCUUUUUCUUCGUAAAUCUCACUUUCUUCAAUCUUUCUUCAUCUCACGGAGUCUCGACUAGAUGUUGUUCAAGCUCUACUACCACUAGUCAGACAACGACUUGACUUAUGGAACUGGCGACUUGACCGGUGUAUGUCGCUUGUCCGAUCUUUUAGGAGCUUUCUGAGACUUGAAGAAUCUUGUUUUCGCCGUCGGAAACUCCAACACGAAAGUCAAUAAUAAACCAAUUAAAAGUACACUGAUGAACCGAAUAAUAAUACGAAAAAGACGUUUUCGGAAUAUUAAUACGAACAAGAGCCCUCAGUCCUUUGCACGUACCUCGUACCUCGUACCUGGCACCUCCGCAGCCACCAGCUCAAGUCGUCGUAUGUGAGGUCGCUCCGUGCAACUCCGUCCGGACCUUCGUCGAGCAGGCGGCCUCCUCCCCUCCGCUGCUACUACGCAAACACACCAGGAUCCCCUCCGGGCUUUCCCGUCCGCACGAAGACGCUCUUGCAGCCGCACGCAUUACUAGCACCAUCUUGACCGGUCGCUCGAGUUUCCGCAAGUCGAGGAAAUAUGCUGCGCUCGCGUUCCCGGAUAGGGCAAAAGUAGUACUAAAACAAGUCAAUCGAAAGGAGCUAGGUUGUCAAUGGGUAAUUUUUACAAGUGAAACACUCAGUCAUCGUCAAUCACACAUAAUCCAGGCCCUGAAUCUCGUAGAUGUUGGCCCGUGGGAUAUGGGUUG
rnacentral:rRNA from 1 species